AGAAGCGCGGUUUGUCAACAGUGAUCGUAUUUGUUUUUCUUUGGAAAAUAUACUGGUAUGGAUUUCAUGUCAGAAGGGACAAGAGUCGGAUACAAGACCAUUGCUGAAUUGUUAGGAAAACUGACAGAAGAGACGACUAAACUUGAGGAAUACCAAAAGAAGAUGACUGAGUAUAACCAUGCCAUCGGUAAUCUUAAUACAUCCUUCAAUCAGGCACAGGCACGACUGGCAAGAGUGGCAGCAGCCAAAUGCGGCAGUGGUCUGCUAAACCUUUAAGCACCCAGAAGAGGAUAUUCACACUGUACCAUUGAUCAGAUAUGUUUGGUUUCGUUUGUACUUAAUAAAUUUGGCUAAAUAAGCUAAGUUGAAUUAGUUUUGUGACUGGCAUACAAAAAAUGAAUUUUGUAUACAUUGCCAUCAACAUACAACAUACUUUGGGUGGUGAUGUGUUGGUGGCAAAUUCAUCUUUUAACUGGAAUGGCCAAGCGCUGUAUUUAUGCAGUUGCGUCUGACUAGACCAGGUUUGUAUGAGGGCAGGACAAAAAAAAAAACCCCUCUAAAAUCACUUCCACAAAAUACUCCAGGCAAAACACUGAACAGUUUCAGUAAAGGCAACAGUCAGCUGUAACA